UUAAGCGACCAAGCGUACACGGUGGAUGCCCUGGCAGUCAGAGGCGAUGAAGGACGUGCUAAUCUGCGAAAAGCGCCGGUAAGGUGAUAUGAACCGUUAUAACCGGCGAUGUCCGAAUGGGGAAACCCAGUGUGACUCGUCACACUAUCAUUAACUGAAUCCAUAGGUUAAUGAGGCGAACCGGGGGAACUGAAACAUCUAAGUACCCCGAGGAAAAGAAAUCAACCGAGAUUCCCCCAGUAGCGGCGAGCGAACGGGGAGGAGCCCAGAGCCUGAAUCAGCAUGUGUGUUAGUGGAAGCGUCUGGAAAGGCGCGCGAUACAGGGUGAGAGCCCCGUACACAAAAGCGCACAUGCUGUGAGCUCGAUGAGUAGGGCGGGACACGUGGUAUCCUGUCUGAAUAUGGGGGGACCAUCCUCCAAGGCUAAAUACUCCUGACUGACCGAUAGUGAACCAGUACCGUGAGGGAAAGGCGAAAAGAACCCCGGCGAGGGGAGUGAAACAGAACCUGAAACCGUGUACGUACAAGCAGUGGGAGCCUCUCUUUAUGGGGGGUGACUGCGUACCUUUUGUAUAAUGGGUCAGCGACUUAUAUUCUGUAGCAAGGUUAACCGCAUAGGGGAGCCGAAGGGAAACCGAGUCUUAACCGGGCGUUAAGUUGCAGGGUAUAGACCCGAAACCCGGUGAUCUAGCCAUGGGCAGGUUGAAGGUUGGGUAACACUAACUGGAGGACCGAACCGACUAAUGUUGAAAAAUUAGCGGAUGACCUGUGGCUGGGGGUGAAAGGCCAAUCAAACCGGGAGAUAGCUGGUUCUCCCCGAAAGCUAUUUAGGUAGCGCCUCGUGAAUUCAUCUCCGGGGGUAGAGCACUGUUUCGGCUAGGGGGCCAUCCCGGCUUACCAACCCGAUGCAAACUGCGAAUACCGGAGAAUGUUAUCACGGGAGACACACGGCGGGUGCUAACGUCCGUCGUGAAGAGGGAAACAACCCAGACCGCCAGCUAAGGUCCCAAAGUCAUGGUUAAGUGGGAAACGAUGUGGGAAGGCCCAGACAGCCAGGAUGUUGGCUUAGAAGCAGCCAUCAUUUAAAGAAAGCGUAAUAGCUCACUGGUCGAGUCGGCCUGCGCGGAAGAUGUAACGGGGCUAAACCAUGCACCGAAGCUGCGGCAGCGACACUUUAGUGUUGUUGGGUAGGGGAGCGUUCUGUAAGCCGUUGAAGGUGUCCUGUGAGGGGUGCUGGAGGUAUCAGAAGUGCGAAUGCUGACAUAAGUAACGAUAAAGCGGGUGAAAAGCCCGCUCGCCGGAAGACCAAGGGUUCCUGUCCAACGUUAAUCGGGGCAGGGUGAGUCGACCCCUAAGGCGAGGCCGAAAGGCGUAGUCGAUGGGAAACGGGUUAAUAUUCCCGUACUUGGUGUUACUGCGAAGGGGGGACGGAGAAGGCUAUGUUGGCCGGGCGACGGUAGUCCCGGUUUAAGCGUGUAGGCUGGUUUUCCAGGCAAAUCCGGAAAAUCAAGGCUGAGGCGUGAUGACGAGGCACCACGGUGCUGAAGCAACAAAUGCCCUGCUUCCAGGAAAAGCCUCUAAGCAUCAGGUAACAUCAAAUCGUACCCCAAACCGACACAGGUGGUCAGGUAGAGAAUACCAAGGCGCUUGAGAGAACUCGGGUGAAGGAACUAGGCAAAAUGGUGCCGUAACUUCGGGAGAAGGCACGCUGACACGUAGGUGAAGUGAUUUACUCACGGAGCUGAAGUCAGUCGAAGAUACCAGCUGGCUGCAACUGUUUAUUAAAAACACAGCACUGUGCAAACACGAAAGUGGACGUAUACGGUGUGACGCCUGCCCGGUGCCGGAAGGUUAAUUGAUGGGGUCAGCGCAAGCGAAGCUCCUGAUCGAAGCCCCGGUAAACGGCGGCCGUAACUAUAACGGUCCUAAGGUAGCGAAAUUCCUUGUCGGGUAAGUUCCGACCUGCACGAAUGGCGUAAUGAUGGCCAGGCUGUCUCCACCCGAGACUCAGUGAAAUUGAACUCGCUGUGAAGAUGCAGUGUACCCGCGGCAAGACGGAAAGACCCCGUGAACCUUUACUAUAGCUUGACACUGAACAUUGAGCCUUGAUGUGUAGGAUAGGUGGGAGGCUUUGAAGCGUGGACGCCAGUCUGCGUGGAGCCGACCUUGAAAUACCACCCUUUAAUGUUUGAUGUUCUAACGUGGACCCGUAAUCCGGGUUGCGGACAGUGUCUGGUGGGUAGUUUGACUGGGGCGGUCUCCUCCUAAAGAGUAACGGAGGAGCACGAAGGUUGGCUAAUCCUGGUCGGACAUCAGGAGGUUAGUGCAAUGGCAUAAGCCAGCUUGACUGCGAGCGUGACGGCGCGAGCAGGUGCGAAAGCAGGUCAUAGUGAUCCGGUGGUUCUGAAUGGAAGGGCCAUCGCUCAACGGAUAAAAGGUACUCCGGGGAUAACAGGCUGAUACCGCCCAAGAGUUCAUAUCGACGGCGGUGUUUGGCACCUCGAUGUCGGCUCAUCACAUCCUGGGGCUGAAGUAGGUCCCAAGGGUAUGGCUGUUCGCCAUUUAAAGUGGUACGCGAGCUGGGUUUAGAACGUCGUGAGACAGUUCGGUCCCUAUCUGCCGUGGGCGCUGGAGAAUUGAGGGGGGCUGCUCCUAGUACGAGAGGACCGGAGUGGACGCAUCACUGGUGUUCGGGUUGUCAUGCCAAUGGCACUGCCCGGUAGCUAAAUGCGGAAAAGAUAAGUGCUGAAAGCAUCUAAGCACGAAACUUGCCCCGAGAUGAGUUCUCCCUGAGACUUUGAGUCUCCUGAAGGAACGUUAAAGACGAUGACGUUGAUAGGCCGGGUGUGUAAGCGCAGCGAUGCGUUGAGCUAACCGGUACUAAUGAACCGUGAGGCUUAACCUU
rnacentral:rRNA from 1 species